CCUACGGGUGGCUGCAGUGGGGAAUAUUGGACAAUGGGGGCAACCCUGAUCCAGCCAUGCCGCGUGUGUGUAGAAGGCCCUCGGGUUGUAAAGCACUUUCAGUGAGGAAGAACGCCUGGUGGUUAAUACCCAUCAGGAAAGACAUCACUCACAGAAGAAGCACCGGCUAACUCCGUGCCAGCAGCCGCGGUAAUACGGAGGGUGCGAGCGUUAAUCGGAAUUACUGGGCGUAAAGCGCGCGUAGGUGGCUUGAUAAGCCGGUUGUGAAAGCCCCGGGCUCAACCUGGGAACGGCAUCCGGAACUGUCAAGCUAGAGUGCAGGAGAGGAAGGUAGAAUUCCCGGUGUAGCGGUGAAAUGCGUAGAGAUCGGGAGGAAUACCAGUGGCGAAGGCGGCCUUCUGGACUGACACUGACACUGAGGUGCGAAAGCGUGGGUAGCAAACAGGAUUAGAUACCCGAGUAGUC
rnacentral:rRNA from 1 species